rnacentral:rRNA from 1 species
GCUUCUUGCCAUCCUUCUUGGAAACUAAGCAGGGUCGGACCUAGUUAGUGUUUGGAUGAGGCAUAGGAAUACUGGAAGCUGGAGGCU